rnacentral:rRNA from 1 species
GACGAACGCUGGCGGCGUGCUUAACACAUGCAAGUCGAACGGUGAAGCUCCAGCUUGCUGGCGUGGAUCAGUGGCGAACGGGUGAGUAACACGUGAGCAACCUGCCCCAGACUCUGGAAUAAGCGCUGGAAACGGCGUCUAAUACUGGAUACGAGAUCAAGCCGCAUGGUUAUGGUCUGGAAAGUUUUUCGGUUUGGGAUGGGCUCGCGGCCUAUCAGCUUGUUGGUGAGGUAAUGGCUCACCAAGGCGACGACGGGUAGCCGGCCUGAGAGGGCGACCGGCCACACUGGGACUGAGACACGGCCCAGACUCCUACGGGAGGCAGCAGUGGGGAAUAGUGCACAAUGGGCGAAAGCCUGAUGCAGCGACGCCGCGUGGGGGAUGACGGCCUUCGGGUUGUAAACCUCUUUCAGCAGGGAAGAAGCGAAAGUGACGGUACCUGCAGAAGAAGCACCGGCUAACUACGUG